rnacentral:rRNA from 1 species
CAGCAGCCGCCGCGGGAAUACGUAGGUCCCGAGCGUUGUCCGGAUUUAUUGGGCGUAAAGCGAGCGCAGGCGGUUAGAUAAGUCUGAAGUUAAAGGCUGUGGCUUAACCAUAGUACGCUUUGGAAACUGUUUAACUUGAGUGCAAGAGGGGAGAGUGGAAUUCCAUGUGUAGCGGUGAAAUGCGUAGAUAUAUGGAGGAACACCGGUGGCGAAAGCGGCUCUCUGGCUUGUAACUGACGCUGAGGCUCGAAAGCGUGGGGAGCAAACAGGAUUAGAUACCCGUGUAGUCCCUGUCUCUUAUACA